rnacentral:rRNA from 1 species
GAAUAGGGCGUUUAGUAUUUGGUCGUAGACCCGAAACCAGGUGAUCUACCCUUGGUCAGGUUGAAGUUCAGGUAACACUGAAUGGAGGACCGAACCGACUUACGUUGAAAAGUGAGCGGAUGAACUGAGGGUAGCGGAGAAAUUCCAAUCGAACCUGGAGAUAGCUGGUUCUCUCCGAAAUAGCUUUAGGGCUAGCCUCAAGUGAUGAUUAUUGGAGGUAGAGCACUGUUUGGACGAGGGGCCCCUCUCGGGUUACCGAAUUCAGACAAACUCCGAAUGCCAAUUAAUUUAACUUGGGAGUCAGAACAUGGG